rnacentral:rRNA from 1 species
GUGGGGAAUAUUGCACAAUGGGCGCAAGCCUGAUGCAGCAACGCCGCGUGAGGGACGACGGCCUUCGGGUUGUAAACCUCUUUUAGCAGGGAAGAAGCGAAAGUGACGGUACCUGCAGAAAAAGCACCGGCUAACUACGUGCCAGCAGCCGCGGUAAUACGUAGGGUGCAAGCGUUGUCCGGAAUUAUUGGGCGUAAAGAGCUCGUAGGCGGUUUGUCGCGUCUGCUGUGAAAACCCGAGGCUCAACCUCGGGCCUGCAGUGGGUACGGGCAGACUAGAGUGCGGUAGGGGAGAUUGGAAUUCCUGGGGUAGCGGUGGAAUGCGCAGAUAUCAGGAGGAACACCGAUGGCGAAGGCAGAUCUCUGGGCCGUAACUGACGCUGAGGAGCGAAAGCGUGGGGAGCGAACAGGAUUAGAUACCCGAGUAGUCC